rnacentral:rRNA from 1 species
GACGAACGCUGGCGGCGUGCUUAACACAUGCAAGUCGAACGGUAAGGCCCUUCGGGGUACACGAGUGGCGAACGGGUGAGUAACACGUGGGUGAUCUGCCCUGCACUUCGGGAUAAGCCUGGGAAACUGGGUCUAAUACCGGAUAGGACCACUGCCUGCAUGGGUGGUGGUGGAAAGCUUUUGCGGUGUGGGAUGGGCGCCGCGGCCUAUCAGCUUGUUGGUGGGGUGAUGGCCAACCAAGGCGACGACGGGUAGCCGGCCGGGGGGGGUGCCCGGCCGAACGGGGAGUGAGAUCCGGCCCGUCCGCCACCGGGAGGCGGAAUGGGGAAUAUUGCACAAUGGGCGCAAGCCUGAUGCAGCGACGCCGCGUGAGGGAUGACGGCCUUCGGGUUGUAAACCUCGUUCAGCACCGACGAAGCGCAAGUGACGGUAGGUGCAGAAGAAGGACCGGCCAACUACGUGCCAGCCGCCGCGGUAA